CUACGGGAGGCAGCAGUGGGGAAUCUUGCACAAUGGGGGAAACCCUGAUGCAGCGACGCCGCGUGAGCGAUGAAGCCUUUCGGGGUGUAAAGCUCUUACGCCAGGGACGAUAAUGACGGUACCUGGAGAAGCAGCUGCGGCUAACUACGUGCCAGCAGCCGCGGUAAUACGUAGGCAGCAAGCGUUGUUCGGAAUUACUGGGCGUAAAGGGUGCGUAGGCGGUGUACUAAGUUUGGUGUGAAAUCUCCCGGCUCAACUGGGAGGGUGCGCCGAAAACUGGGACACUCGAGUGUGGGAGAGGAAAGCGGAAUUCCUGGUGUAGCGGUGAAAUGCGUAGAGAUCAGGAGGAACACCUGCGGUGUAGACGGCUUUCUGGACCAUAACUGACGCCGAGGCACGAAAGCGUGGGUAGCAAACAGGAUUAGAUACCCUAGUAGUCC
rnacentral:rRNA from 1 species